rnacentral:lncRNA from 1 species
AUGACAUGGAAUUCACAGUGGACUUCCUACUCUGUGAAAGAAAGGGAGAAGAUGCUUUUGCUUCAUGCAAUCUUCGCUUCUAAGGAGGUUGCUGCUGUUAAGCACUUCUGCAACUUAGACACACAAAGAAAUGGGAACCCUUUGCAGCCUGUAGUGGAACAUGAGCAUGGACCCUUCAGGCUUUGUCUGAUUUCUUCCUGUUUCUCCGACGUGUUGCUAAAUCAUGGCAAUGGAAGAGCUCAUCUCCAGGAUGCCAAAUCCGUGCUGCCUUCCAGGGACAAUCCCAGCAGCUCAUGUUCUGAAAAAGGAGGAAACCAGGGCCUGGGAAAGCAAAUUGCAUUAGCAGAUUUUGACCUCAAGACUAAGCCACGUUACAUGUGUGAAAGGCCCAGCAUCUCUGCUCUGAUCCGCUGCACCGCUCCUGCAUACUGACAUGUAGAAAGAAAGAAGUUUUACCUUCCCACCAGUGGAGGGAUGUGUCUAGACUUUAACAAGGAAUGGGAAACAUGACCCAAGCAAACGCCGUAUCGCUCACUAGAGGAGGAGAUGCGGAGGUAAGUGUGGUUUUAACACUCACUUGGCCAAGGGAGAUCAUCCAUAGCAGUGGGUAGUGCUGGUUAGCAGCCAGUUAGCAGGCAUUUCUCUGCAAUAAUCUUCCAGGUUUUUUUUUUUCUUUUUCUUUUUUCCUUUUUUUUUUUUUUUCCCCCCCUUGGUUACAACUUUGGUGUGCAGUGGUGGAAUGCUGGAGCUGGAUCAGAGCUUGGCUCUGUGGUCACCUUUGUAUCACUGAAAUGAGUUGAAGUGCUAUUUUACAAUGGAUUACAGGAUGCCCGCAGCUUUUAUGUUUGUUUCUGUGAGGUUAUUUUUCACUUCCUCUUCUGAAUAAAAAGAAAACAAAAUGUUAAAUGUCUAAUUGAAUGGACUGUUGGAAAAGGUGCAUAGAAAGGUCUAGCAUGUGAACUCCUGUGAAGCAAAUGCCUUUGUUUCCAAACAGGCUAGUGAUAGCAAAUAUUUAUUGACAUUUUCCUUCCACAGGGGCGUUAACAAUUAUAAUUUGCUAGUACGUACCUCAUGAGUACUUUCAGGUUUUGAACAGAACAUCUGUUGGUCAAAGAUGAAAAAAAAUGUUGAAAAAAAAAUCUAUUUUUCCAGGGUUAUGAAUCUAACAGCAUCACAAAUUAUCGCUAGGAAAACAGUUCAAAAGCCUGAACUUGCACUUAUGGAAAAAGGAACACAGAUAGAGGAAACAGAUAAAUAUGCGUCGUGGUGGUAGGCUUUGUUUUCUGAAAUGAUAUAUUGUUCCGGAGAAGCGGUUAACAAACAAAUUAUUGUCUGUGUCCAAUACAGCCAGAUCUUUGGUUCCACCGAACAGAUGUUAAGGUGAAGCAGAUUAAAGCUUAAUUCACAAUAGGGCUGCACCACAGGAAAGGUGCCCUAAGUUUAUCUAUUGUUAAAUAAUAUAAUUUAUCGUCUUAGAGGGCUACAGAGCAAUUGCCGUUCCUUUUCUACUUUUUGAACAAAGAUUUAUAACAUAGAUAAUCCCCAAUUUUAGAUAUUUGCUGCAGGUUAUAUUUGAAAGAAUUUCCCAAAAGACUGAUAACCCCUUUUUUUCCUUAACCACAGUCAAACCAGUGAACUAAUAUGAUGCCUGCUUCAAAUAAAUGUAUUUGCUGCCUCUGUGCAUGAUAAGUUUUCAUUUAGUCUAUGAUCAGCUGACAGUAUGCAAGUUUGCAGAUACCAGUAAUUGAAUACAGAUAACCUUGGUUGUUGACCUAUGCAGAGCCAUGGCUGUCUAGUUUCCAUUGUUUCUGUUUUUGCUAGUUGACACAAAACUGAUGUGGGCUGAAUUUAUAUAUUAGCCAUCCAUUAUAGUGGGAAUUGCUUAUCGUUGUGGAUGGAUAUUGCAAGAAGUUUCUAUUUAUUUAACCUAAUAAGAUGGCAGAAAUGAACCUGAUUGGGCCCAUUCAGGAGCAGAAUUAACCCUUAGCAGCCCAGUUAAUUUCUGCACAGAUAACAGGGCAUGUAAAGGAUGCCUGCCUUAUUUCUAUUUUUUACAUAUUAAUUUUAUUUUCAGUUAGAGGGCUUAUAUCAGCUGGAAAAGAAUCUGUGCAGUAUUGAGAAAGUGAAGUUGAGGGUUGCAAAAGACUGAAGCAGUGCUGGGUAUCCGAAUCCUCUUGGCUUCUGACUGCAGCGGACAACGGUUCUCCCAGACCUCAUUGAAAGGUGUGCCUGAAAAGACUAUGAAGUAGAGUUUGCCAAGUGAUGACAAGGGCAGUGGCAGCACAGUCCCUGUGAGAACCACAUCCUAUAGGGCUCACAGCGUGGGCUUCAGAUCAUGUACUGGGAGCUGCUCCUCUGCAGGUGCCGCCGUCUCAAAGCUCCUGUACCUUGCAGCCAGAUGGAGAUGCCUUUGGUUGGUUGCUUGUGGCCUGCUUGGUUUCAAUUUCACCAUGGCCACAUAUAAUAGUGCAAAUUUCCAGUUACCUGUGAGGUUAUGUAG